CGGUGUUUAACUGGCGUGAUGUGGGACGUCCUACCGGUGGGCUUACCCUCGCGAGGGGCGGCCCAACUAAUAUCCCGUCGCGGUGCUCUUUACUGAGUGUCGAGUCGGGCCGGUACUUUUACUUUGAACAAAUUAGAGUGCUUAAAGCAGGCUAUCCUCGCCUGAAUACUGCGUGCAUGGAAUAAUGGAAUAGGACCUCGGUUCUAUUUUGUUGGUUUUCGGAACCCCGAGGUAAUGAUUAAUAUGGACAGAUGGGGGCAUUCGUAUUGCGACGUUAGAGGUGAAAUUCUUGGAUCGUCGCAAGACGGACAGAAGCGAAAGCAUUUGCCAAAAAUGUUUUCAUUAAUCAAGAACAAAAGUUAGAGGUUCGAAGGCGAUCAGAUACCGCCCUAGUUCUAACCAUAAACGAUGCCAGCUAGCGAUCCGCCGAAGUUCUUCCGAUGACUCGGAGGGCAGCUUCCGGGAAACCAAAGCUUUUGGGUUCCGGGGGAAGUAUGGUUGCAAAGGUGAAACUUAAAGGAAUUGACGGAAGGGCACCACCAGGAGUGGAGCCUGCGGCUUAAUUUGACUCAACACGGGAAACCUCACCAGGCCCAGACACCGGAAGGAUUGACAGAUUGAUAGCUCUUUCUUGAUUCGGUGGGUGGUGGUGCAUGGCCGUUCUUAGUUGGUGGAGCGAUUUGUCUGGUUAAUUCCGAUAACGAACGAGACUCUAGCCUGCUAAAUAGGCGUACCUUAUGGUAUCGCGAAGGCCCCCGGCUUCGGCCGGUGGGUUUUUACUACCAACGUACAAACAAAUCUUCUUAGAGGGACAGGCGG
rnacentral:rRNA from 1 species